rnacentral:sRNA from 1 species
ACGUGUCUGCGAGAAUGUGCUGGGUCAUAAUCAGUUGCUCUGUGACCCUGGCAGGGUUUUUUUGUGUUUUCUUUUGUUUUUGUUUUUGGAAACGGUAUGAUUCUGCAGUGGUGUGAUCAUAGUUCACUGCAGCUUCAAACUCCUGGGCUCAAGCAGUCCUCCCACCUCAGUCCCCCAAGUACCUAGGACUACAGGCAUGAACCACUAUGCCCAGCUAAUUUUGUUUUUUGGUAGACGGGGUCUCGCUAUGUUGCCCAGGCUGGAGUGCAGUGGCAUGAUUAUAGCUCACUGUGGCCUCAAGCUCCUGGGCUCACACGAUCCUCCUGCCUCAUCCUCCGGAGUAGCUGGGAUCACAGUCACGCACUGCUAUGCCUGGCUAAUUUUAAAAUUUUUUGUAGAGAUGGGGUCUCACUGUGUUACUCAGGCUGGCCUUGAACUCCUGGGCUCCAGCGACCCUCCUGCCUCAGCCUCCCAAAGUGUCGGGAUUACAGGCGUGAGCCACUGUGCCCAGCCCCCUGGGCAAGUUUAACUUCUCUGUGCCUUGGACUCCCCAGUGUUAAAUGGGGUAGUAGAGGGAGACAGCCCUCCGAGAGCCUUCCUGCCCAGUGCCUGUCCCGGAGCAGCAGCGCUCAGCACGUGUUGCUUGUUUCUCCAUCUGAACUGCGCUCCUGGCCGCCCGUGGCCGCCCAGUCAUUCUGCUCCACUCCUGCUCCACACAGGUGAUAAAGAACUCCCCCGUGAAGACGUUUGCUAGUCCCACCUUCAGCUCCCUCCUGGAUGUGUUUCUGUCGACCACAGUGUUUCUGACGCUGUCCAUCACCUGCUUCCUGAAGUACGAGGCGGCCACCACGCCUCCCCCGCCCGCUGCCCUGGCGGUCUUCAGCGCGGCCCUGCUGCUGGAGGUGCUGUCCCUCGCGGUGUCCAUCAGGUAAGCGCCGCGUGGGCUGGGUCUCCAGCUCUGAGCCGUUAGCUCCCUCUUCUGGCUCCAUGGCUUAUGGCUGAGCGGUUGGACUGGUCCCCAGCCAGCUGUUCCUGCUGGCUGAUUUCUGGAGAUGGGCCCCCGUGUCUUCCCCGAGCCCUGUGCCCCGGCAUCCUCCCUCCCUGAGUUGGCCCAGAUGUGGGGGGACCACCUCACUGGAGGGGGCGGUGCCUCCGCAGUCCCAACUGCUGCCAGCUUGUCCCCAGAUCUCCAGGGUCAGAGACUGCAAAGGAGAAGGUGAGAAGAUAGGAAACGAUCUGGAGGAAGGAAAGGAAAAGACAUGAGCAGGGGUAGAUGAUUGGUGGGCCUGGGUCAGCCGGCGCCUCUUCAGAGAGUGGGAGCUAAACAUAGACCCAUAGCAGCAUCUCACGCACUUGCCUCAGGCAGUGGUCUCUUGGGUGUGAUGCCAACAGAAGAAAGAAUAGAUAAGCUCAACUUCAUCAAAAGUUAAGCCAUUGUGCUGCAAAGAACACCAUCAAGAAAACGAAAGAACCCACAGAAUGGGAGGGAACAUUUGCAGAUCAGGCCUCGGACAAGGUCUAACAUCUAGAAUGGAUAAAGAGCGCAUACAGCCCAAUAAUAAAAAGACAGCUUAUUUUAAAGGAGACAGAGGCUCUGAGUAGACCACAGGUGCGUCUUGGGAAAGCUGGGCCCUCGGGACCAGCCCGACUCCCUGAGGGGGCUCGCAGCGGCUCUGUAUUCCUGAGCAGGCAGGUGGCCCUGCGUGAUCCCCGUCCUGGGCACCACAAGCCCCUUUCGUGGUCCUGUCACCCUCAACAGCAUGGCUACCGGCCUAGCAGAGUCCCACUAGCAAUGGUGCCCAGGAGCUGGGCUUCAAACAGACAUGGGGAGGCAGCCCUGACCUUGAGCGUCUCCUGCCCUUAUCCAACAUCCCAGGAGAGAAAUGGAUGGCUUUGAGUCUGGCCUGAGGCUCUGGAAUGCUGGCUUCUCCCAUCUGGGAUGGGCAGGCUGGGAUUCCUGCCUCCUCCCUCCCACCUGCACUGUACCCAGGAGCCUUUCAGCUUCCUCCGAGGCCGCCAUGGGCCAUGCUCUCUGCGGCGUGUGCUCGCUGUUUCCCAGAACUCCCUGCGGGCUCACGCCCCAUCACCCCCAGCGAGCAGCCCUCUUUCUGGCACAGUCCCCUCCUGCCUCAGUGCCCUCCUGUGCUUCUGGGGACCCCUCCCAAAGGAGCCAUCAUCUGCAAGCCCUUCCAGGGUCUGCUUCCCCAGAACCCAAACCAGACAUCCUCAGGGCCCUGGUUGGUUUCUUUUUCCUCUUUAAAAAGAUCAGCUUUAGGCCGGGCAUGGUGGCUCACGCCUGUAAUCCCAACACUUUGGGAGGCCGAGGCAGGUGGGUCACCUGAGGCUGGGAGUUCGAGACCAGCCUGGCCAACAUGGUGAAACCCUAUCUCUACUAAAAAAUACC